rnacentral:rRNA from 1 species
UACGGGGGGGGGCAAGCGUUGUUCGGAAUUACUGGGCGUAAAGGGCUCGUAGGCGGUUUGUCGCGUCGGGAGUGAAAUCCACUGGCUUAACUGGUGGCUUGCUUUCGAUACGGGCAGACUGGAGGUAUGCAGGGGAGAACGGAAUUCCUGGUGUAGCGGUGAAAUGCGCAGAUAUCAGGAGGAACACCGGUGGCGAAGGCGGGUCUCUGGGCCGAUACUGACGCUGAGGAGCGAAAGCGUGGGGAGCGAACAGG